CUGAACAUGCACAUGAAUGUCCAGAAUGGGAAGUGGGAUUCAGAUCCAUCAGGGACCAAAACCUGCAUUGAUACCAAGGAAGGCAUCCUGCAGUAUUGCCAAGAAGUCUACCCUGAACUGCAGAUCACCAAUGUGGUAGAAGCCAACCAACCAGUGACCAUCCAGAACUGGUGCAAGCGGGGCCGCAAGCAGUGCAAGACCCAUCCCCACUUUGUGAUUCCCUACCGCUGCUUAGGUGAGCCGGCCGGCCGUGGGGCUGGUGUUGAUUGGGGGCCUGGUCUUGAGGGAAGAAAAAGAGGAUGCUCCUGUUAGGUCACAUACACAGACUUGUUCUUCAGCACAUUGCCACUCUGUGUUGUACUGUGUUUUGGACUCUUGCAGUUACAUUCUGUGCACUGACCCUAUAGGAGCAGUAUUUUUGAGUUCCCUGCCUCAGAAUGAAUUUACCCAGGGUGUAUAUUGAAAUUACAAAUUCCUGGGCCAGUUCCAGGACUCCUGAAUGAAAAAUGCCUAUAGUAGCGGAUCCGGGAAUUCUUAUUUUACCGUAUCGCAUAGAUGAUUCUCAUGAACAGGGGCCUUGUGUGUUUCUUCACAUAGACUUUCUAGAAGAAAGAAUCUAAUGUGAAGCUGCAGCAUUUUGUUAAUUUCUAAAAAAAAAAAAAAAAAA
rnacentral:lncRNA from 1 species